rnacentral:hammerhead_ribozyme from 1 species
AUCCAGCUGACGAGUCCCAAAUAGGACGAAAUGCGCAUCCUGGCU